rnacentral:lncRNA from 1 species
AUGCCCGAUUCACUUCCACUUGAACUCCAUCUCGCUCUAAGCUCCUCUUGGCUUCUGAAGCUCCACCUCGCAUUGGACUCUCCACUUGGAAGUAAUGUCUUCUCAUCCUCUUCUUUCCUUCCAGAAUAAUCCUAUUAUCGUGCAAUACCUUCAAGAUUCUUCCACCAGCUACCGUCUUGUAGCCUGUCGAAUCCAGUCUGCUCAAUGAGAUAAGAUUCUGUCUGAAAU